CCGACUUCCGCACUCUGCGCCUGCGCGCGGCCCAGCCAGCGCGGCGCGCCCCUCCCGCGCGCGCCCGCGCUCACUCACAAUCGCGCCCGCGGAGUGCUUUCCGCACCGCCUCCGGUGCGUGGGCGGGAGACAUAAGCCUAGCCAAGCCCAUACAGCCCGGCUCGGGUGGCUAUGGAGAGGCGUACUGCAGAGACACCUGGACGCGCACUGUGACAGGCGCCAUUCUGACACACGUGCUCUCUCACUCCCAAACACCACGGGCCGCAAGCGCUCACACCCACACUCACCUGCAGGGACCACGUGGGAGAAUUUGAAGGGCUGAUCCUGUCCCGGUGCAUUCGCAGUAGCAAUGAUGCGAGAAUUCGUUUUAACCUCGUCACUGACUGGACUAGACUGUAAACUCCUUGGCGUCUGGGAUGGCUCAGCCGUGCCCAGCACCAAGUGCAGGCACUCAAACCCCUGUGGAGUGCCUCAGACUACUUCACCAUAGUCAUAAAUCCUGUCACAUCCCAGUGAUGCAGUUCAUGAGUCUCUUAAUCUAGCCUGGUAAGUAAAAAAAUUACAGAGGUCACAUGAAUAAUGACUGGAAUAGGAAAUGGACCAAGAUAGCAAGGCCUUAUCUUGAUCCCCUCCCUGUUUUAACAACUUUACAUCUGACUGAGUCAAGAAAACCUAAGGCCAGAAACAGAUUACAAAGAAGUCAAAAUGAACGUAACACUAAAUUCUAACUUUAUUUAUUUAUUAUUCUUGGAUAAAUGGCAGAAUCCUGAAAAUGUGAUUCUAAAAGGAAGUAUGGUUGCUGGAUUUGCGUGGUUUUUGUUUGUUUGUUUGUUUGUUUUUUGAGACGGAGUCCACUCUUGUUGCCCAGGCUGGAGUGCAGUGGCGUGAUCUUGGCUCAUCGCAACCUCCGCCUCCUGGGUUCGAGCAAUUCUCCUGCCUCAGCCUCCCAAGUAGCUGGGAUUACAGGCAUGCACCACCACACCUGGCUAAUUUUGUAUUUUUAGUAGAGAUGGGGUUUCUUCAUGUUGGUCAGGCUGGUCUCUAACUGGAUUUGUGUUUUAAAUGGAGGAGAGGCCUACUUCAGCUCUUACCUUUCCUUUUUUUAAAGUGGAGAAAAUGGCUUCAAAGCCCUGUAACCCUCACUGGAAGUAUUCUGGACUUGUAAAAGCAGGAAAAAGUCACAUGUCUUUUUACCUUUUAACUUAAUAGCAGCUGCCUGUAAAUGCUGAAGUUCAAAACAAGUAAAGAAAAUUACUCUGGUAAUGAAAGGGUUACUGCUAUUAUAGUGCUGCUAAUCCAGUUAUGGGAAAGCUCCACAUUGCCAGAAGCAGGUAAUUAAACAGAACUAAAAAGCAACGCAAAAGAAAAAAGAAGUGGGGGUGGGGCGGGUGAAUCGAGAGCAGCUCAAAUAAAAGAGCUCAAUCAAGUGUAGAGGAAGUACUUUCUAGAGGCACCCAAACCCACCCAAAUCAGGAAAAGCCAGGAGCUAAAUUUGUCCUUAAGUACCUGGAAGAAACAUAAGGAAAUGUCUAAAUGCCACAGCUUGGUCAUAAAAGGAACUUACCCAGGGUGCUAGAAGGAAAGAAGUGGUAUGUUUAUGACUGCCCAAUGGCAGACCAUUCAGGAUUCGAAAGGUUAUCUUCCUUCCUGUCUAAAUGCAUCCAACAUUGAGGAGGAAGUCAGCACAAAGUUUGAAAGAGUGCAUAUAUGUUCCAGUUCUAGCCAUUCCAAAAGACUCGUUCCUGAAUUCCUGAUAGAGCCAACUAUUGCUAAUAGUCACAUAGAAAUAGUCUUGUGUUGCAAAUCCGCAGGAACUGAUGGCCACUUUAUUAUGCACUGCCUUCUAAAUCUAGAGAAAAUGAUAUAACGGAUUUCACAUGUUGGGGCCAAAAUCCAAAGAACCUUGGAUAGCCAGCAUUGGGAAUAUGAGGGAGAAUUUUCAUGUCUUCAUUUCUUCACACACUUUCUUGUUCCUAAUGUUUUCUGGGCACUUUGAGGUUUUCUUUAUCCAAUUCAAACAACCAGAUAUUCAAAGAUAUCCAAUUCAAUAAUCAACUCCCUAAUUAGAAGAGUCUAGAUAAUAUAUAGAAUCCAUUCAACCUGGCUACCCUCAUGGUUUGAUUUUGAGAGCCAACUCUAUAAGGAAAACUAUAGUUUUGUUAGGCA
rnacentral:lncRNA from 1 species